rnacentral:rRNA from 1 species
GCAGUCGAGCGGACAGAUGGGAGCUUGCUCCCUGAUGUUAGCGGCGGACGGGUGAGUAACACGUGGGUAACCUGCCUGUAAGACUGGGAUAACUCCGGGAAACCGGGGCUAAUACCGGAUGCUUGAUUGAACCGCAUGGUUCAAUUAUAAAAGGUGGCUUUUAGCUACCACUUACAGAUGGACCCGCGGCGCAUUAGCUAGUUGGUGAGGUAACGGCUCACCAAGGCAACGAUGCGUAGCCGACCUGAGAGGGUGAUCGGCCACACUGGGACUGAGACACGGCCCAGACUCCUACGGGAGGCAGCAGUAGGGAAUCUUCCGCAAUGGACGAAAGUCUGACGGAGCAACGCCGCGUGAGUGAUGAAGGUUUUCGGAUCGUAAAACUCUGUUGUUAGGGAAGAACAAGUACCGUUCGAAUAGGGCGGUACCUUGACGGUACCUAACCAGAAAGCCACGGCUAACUACGUGCCAGCAGCCGCGGUAAUACGUAGGUGGCAAGCGUUGUCCGGAAUUAUUGGGCGUAAAGCGCGCGCAGGCGGUUUCUUAAGUCUGAUGUGAAAGCCCCCGGCUCAACCGGGGAGGGUCAUUGGAAACUGGGGAACUUGAGUGCAGAAGAGGAGAGUGGAAUUCCACGUGUAGCGGUGAAAUGCGUAGAGAUGUGGAGGAACACCAGUGGCGAAGGCGACUCUCUGGUCUGUAACUGACGCUGAGGCGCGAAAGCGUGGGGAGCGAACAGGAUUAGAUACCCUGGUAGUCCACGCCGUAAACGAUGAGUGCUAAGUGUUAGAGGG